rnacentral:rRNA from 1 species
CCUACGGGUGGCUGCAGUGGGGAAUUUUCCGCAAUGGGCGAAAGCCUGACGGAGCAAUACCGCGUGAGGGAGGAAGGCUCUUGGGUUGUAAACCUCUUUUCUCAAGGAAUAAAUUUGAAGGUACUUGAGGAAUCAGCAUCGGCUAACUCCGUGCCAGCAGCCGCGGUAAUACGGAGGAUGCAAGCGUUAUCCGGAAUGAUUGGGCGUAAAGGGUCCGCAGGUGGCAUUGAAAGUCUGCUGUUAAAGAGUGCAGCUCAACUGCAUAAGGGCAGUGG